rnacentral:rRNA from 1 species
UACGUAGGGUGCAAGCGUUGUUCCGGAAUUAUUGGGCGUAAAGAGCUCGUAGGCGGUUGUCGCGUCUGCUGUGAAAACCCGAGGCUCAACCUCGGGCCUGCAGUGGGUACGGGCAGACUAGAGUGCGGUAGGGGAGAUUGGAAUUCCUGGGUGUAAGCGGUGGAAUGCGCAGAUAUCAGGAGGAAGUACCGGUGGCGAAAGCGACUCUCUGGACGGCAACUGACGGCUGAGGCACGAAAGCGUGGGGAGCAAACAGG